UACAGAGGGGGCAAGCGUUGUUCGGAAUUACUGGGCGUAAAGGGCGCGUAGGCGGCCUUCUAAGUCGAACGUGAAAUCCCUGGGCUCAACCCAGGAACUGCGUCCGAUACUGGAAGGCUUGAAUCCGGGAGAGGGAUGCGGAAUUCCAGGUGUAGCGGUGAAAUGCGUAGAUAUGGAAGGAACAUCAGUGGCGAAAGCGACUUCCUGGACCAGUACCGACGUUCAGGCACGAAAGCGUGGGGAGCAAACAGG
rnacentral:rRNA from 1 species